GGGAGAGGCUCCAGCCUCGCUGCUCCGCCCGCCCUGGCUGCCGCGGAGAGGAGAUCGACGCCAGAGAGCCCGGCCAGGUAACAAGAUUUACAUAAUGAACUGAAGACAUGAACUGAAGGAAAUGAUAGAGAUGGAGAAGGACCAGCUAUAAAUACCAGAAGGUACACCCCAAAACAGUGAGGAAAAGGCAGAUGUGGUUUUAGAGCACGCCCAGCAAGCAUUAGCUGAGGAAAUUGUGGUUGAGCACAGGACAAGGACAAGCGAGGCAGAAGGUGAAGGAAGGAAGGGCUGAUGUGAAGAGAGAUCCAAGCAUCGCUUCCUGAUCAGACUAAGACUUGGGCCUUGAGAGACUUGGACCUUCUGCAAGGCCAGGAGGAGCACGGGGCAGCUCUGUGCUGCAGGAAACCUCUUUGCAAGGAGAGGUUGAGCUGAAGAACAAAUUCAUUGGCAAACCAGAGGACUGUGACCCUCCUCCUGGAACAUCUCAGUACUUGAAGGAAAAGUCACCUCAGGAAAUCUUAACAGGCUCUGUGACUGGCACGAAAGAGAAGAAACCUUUGGAAGCUUCACCUGUGGUCUGAAAGCCAGAGCUCUGCCUUUCCUGCUUUCUGCCUCAUCGGUCCUGAAGAUUUUGCAGGGAGAGCUGAGUUGAUGCCAGUGGUGCUGCCUGAGUUGAAGAGCACCUCUGAGGCUGCUCUUGGGUCAGUUCACUCUGCCCAGCCCCAAGUUCACUGCUGUGUGCAAAGGUUCAGAUGUUCUUUCCUCCCUGCUCCACGGAGAUCCUCUUCACAGCAGGAAGCCUGACCAGGAAAAGGAAACCCUUCCAGCUGGUCAGGCCCCAGACACUUCCAAAACUCUGAGAAUCUGUCUCUCUGUGGAGCUGCUGCAUUCAUCUCCCCUGUUGUAAAGGCAGCAGCUAUAUCCAUCUUUCCUUAAGAUCCAUGCAUCAGAUGGAGAUCCAAACAGACCUUGGAAAGAAGGAGGAUAAACCACAGAGCUGGCCAUGGCAACCCAUCCCCAGGCUCUCAAACAGCCCAGGCUAUCAUCAGCUGAUUUAACACAGAUUCAGUUCAGAUCACUACUCACCUUUCAAUUCAAUCAACACAGUCAUCCUGUGGGACUUAGCUCUUGCAGUGAAACCACAGAUCCAGAAGAGUGUGGGAGUCCAGCUCAGGGAACAACAUCUAUUGAGACCAUUGAACAAAGGCCAGGCACAGCACCGGGAUAAUCAAGUCAGCAUCCACUGCAGCUCUGUCUGGUGAAAUCAAAGAAAUUCUGAAAGUUACGAUGAAGGGAAGAAGAAGGGAGAAAAAAACCCAAAACCACGUGAGAGGUUCUGAGAGGUGCUGCUGCUCUGUGCUGGUUCCCAGUGACCCAUUCCUCCUGGCUGCUAAUAUCCAUGGAUACAAGACAUGGCUUGUGGCCACGUUUAUGUGCUGCCUCCACCUUCUGUGUUCUUGGGUUGGAGGAUUACAAGUUGAUAGCAGCCUGUGUCAGGAACACUGCAAUUCCCUUUGGCUUCAUGUAACUCUUGUCCAUUUUGAGAGAAAACAUUUGUCAGGCACUUACACCAGCAGGCUGCCUUAACUGCAUUUUUUUAUCAUCUACACAGUUCAUAGGUUGUAAUGGUUUCCAGACAGGUACCUGGAAUUUUUCACCAUUCCAGUCGAUGCAACAAGGCAUUUUGUCUUGGAGAAAAGAGGCAAUUAUUUAUACUGGGAAAGCUCCCAAAUGAGCAUGUCCUCUUGCCCCCAGGGCCAAGGUGGUCACCACAGUCAGUGAUCCAUGGGCUCAGACACACUCUGGUGCCAGGACCUGACCUAAACUUAAUUACAGUCAAGGGUGGAACUCCAGCAGUUGAUAAAAUACGCUAAUCUACUAACUUCAGUUAAAGUGAGUAUUGGAAAGAAGAUUUCAGACCAAAAAAAAGAGCAAAUCUCAGCUAAGAAGAAAUUUUGGAACUUUGUGGUUCAGAAGUGCCUGUGGUUCAGUACUUUAUUAUUGCUGACAACAUUGGCACAGCUUAUGCGUUUUAAAAGCAUAUUCCCUUCACAGUGAUUCUGAAACCCUGUUAGAAAAAUCAACCCUUUUAGCAGCAUUUACAUCUGUACUCAGCCUUCAGUGUCACUGAAAUCUCUGUGGGACUUAAACAAAUCCUUAAAUGCUGUCCUUAGAGACAUUUUCCUGAGGAACGAAUUUUCUGGAACACGGCCUCUAAAUGCAUGGAAAACCAGCAAAGCGUCUUUGUCUUCCCAUUUCCUGAACUUCAGAUCAAUUACAAAAACUCUGAUUUUCAAAAGUUCUUCCAAAGGAGCUCUUUUCUUGUCACCGUGUGUCACUCUGUCAGUUACAUUUCAAGGCAUGGAUUUGAAAUCCGACCAGCAGAAACAGCUACCUUUGUCAUAAAUUUAACUUGGCAGCUUCUCUGUGGGACUUUCAAUUAGGUUGUUUUUCUUUUUAAGGGAAAAAAAAAAAAAAAAAACCAAAACACUGAAAGUGUCAGUCCAAACCCAGUGAGCAAAUGCUGGUAUAUGGGAGGCGUACCCAUACUGCCUUCUACUUCAGACUCCAGGAUGAUCAGGAACAUAAAUUGCCAAGUUUUGGAGAAAAACAACUUAUAAAAACUUGUUCCAGGGACACAGAAAGAGCAGUUCCUGCUGUGUGAGGGGAUGGGUGGCUCUGAGGCCUCUGAGGAUUGGCAGCGCUGAGGGCUCAGCCCAGGAGGCAGAGAGGUGGCUCUGUGACACUGCUCAGAAUCUCGUGUUUUCCACUUAAAACUUGGGAGUCUCUAUGGAGGAAGUUUACAAACCCCACCAUGUUUUAAUGCUGGUUGCUGAAAGCUUGGAUUCUGAGGCAGUGGGAGCUGGUGUGCCUGGAAAGAGCCGAGCCCUGGGGCCGGGCCGGAGCCGCCACAGCCUCGAGGGCAAGAGCCCCUCCCGGUGUCCGUAUGAAAAUGGGAUCGAGGUGUGGGAGCUGCCGUCCCUGGCAGCUCUGCUCCGGGCUGCCUCCCUGGAAACCUUAUCUCUGUGGAUGCGGGGAAUGCCAGGAUCCUGUGAAAACCCCGGCUGCCGUUCCAACGGCAAUGAGCCCGUGCCUCAGGACUGCCGCCAUUUCCCCGCAGCCUCCUCAGCUGCGGUGAAUGUUACCGUCCCGCUCCAGAGCGGGAAUUUCCUCGUGACGUGUGGAGAAAAAAAAUGUUUAACUGAGUUUAUAGCUCGAAAAGUGGUAAAACUACCCUUGAAGAAGUCAUUAAGUGUGAGUGGACUCAAUGAUUUCUGCCUGAAUUAUCAGCAAGCAUUAAAGACACACGAUGUGUGUGUGAGGGGAAGGCAGGAGCCCCGGCCGAGGACUGUUCCUGAAAUCCCACUGGCGUUGUAGUUUUUGUCAUUUUAUUUGUAUUUGUCACUGAAACGUGACUGGAAAACUGAUAAAAAUGCUUUGGAUAGACACAAAGGGGUGAAGGUGCGAAGGACCGAUGACAUCCCACACCAGCCUUUCUCAUCCGCUGCCUCUACCUUCUGCUGAAGCCGCGACUGCGACAGCACGAUCGGCGGAUGCUUCCAACCUUCUUCUGCCACGUGUGGUGUUUUGCUAGUCUGAAGCAGUUCUCAACAACAGAAUCAAAGAUGUGAGAGGUCCAUUCCCUGUCACCAUCUGUGGGGAUGCCCACAGUGAAUUCCACGACCCUAUGAAGUGAGACUAAUAAAUUGGGCAUUUUUCUGGUCUCAGAAUCGGAGUCUUAAGUCCUGUGGGGUUUUUUUGGUGGUGGUGAAGGUGAGGAGGGCUCAGGGACAAAGUCCUCCCUGCCCUUGGCAUUCGGACCCAGUCCCAUCUGGCCAGGCCUAGGGCUGUGAAACAGGGACUGCAGUGCUGUGGUUUGGGAGUGCAGAAGGAGGCUCCCCCCUGCCUCGAGCACAGAGCCCAAGUGCUGCAUUUUGGGGCCCAGGGACCGGGCCCAAACCCCGUGUGCGAGUGCUCGGAGCACGGAGCCUUGGCCCGGCGCUGUCCGGGCCCGGCCCCGGGCUCACGGGGGCGGGUUAGGGCUGAGAGCAGCGCUCAGGCGCUCCCUCGUGGGUCUCCGCACCCGAGCCGGUGCUCCGGCCGAGGCUCUUCCUGGAGCCGGGACACUCGUGGGGCCUCUCCCCGGUGCCGACGGGGCGGUGGGUGACGAGCCGGGAGCGCGGCGUUGCGGGGCUCGUGCGGCCGGCGUUCGGGGGCUCGGACCCGGCCCCCGCCGCGGUCCCAGGUGCUGGAGGCGCCAGGGCCGUUCCCGGGGCGGGCAGGGAGGUGCUGGGGGCAGGAGGCGGUGCGGGAGCCGCGGUGUCCGUUCCCUAGCCGGGCGGGUCCCGGCCGGUGCUCGGGGACCUCGGUGCGGGCACCAAGGGCCCGGGCACACGGUGCGGGGGCGGCUCCGGCCGGGGCUUUCCAGCCCGUUCGGCGACCCCGGGCCCGGCAGAGCAGGAUGCGAACGCGGGGAGGGUGACACCGGGACAUGGAGGGUGACAGCGGGACGGGGCUCUGCGGUCUCAGGAGAGGCC